GGGGGCGUUACGGAUUCGACAGGCAUAGUUGAGCUUGAAUUGCGUUUCGUAGGUUACGGCUACGUUAAAACGUUACAGUUAAAUAUAACUGCUAAAAACGAAAACAAUUCUUUCGCUUUAGCUGCCUAAAAACCAGCUAGCGAAGAUCCUCCCGGCAUCGCCCAUGUGCUCGGGUCAGGGUCCUAAUCGAAGUGGGAUACGCUAAAUUUUUCCGUCUGUAAAAUUUAGAGGAGCUUACCAGACUAGCAAUACAGAAUGCCUGUCACUCGGCACGCUGUAAAGCGAACCUUU
rnacentral:tmRNA from 1 species